rnacentral:lncRNA from 1 species
CGCGGCCCGCCGGGAGUUGUAGUGCGCGGCGGGGCCGGGGCGCUGUCACGCGCUCGCCGCGGCCCCCCCGGACGGCGCCGUCCCUCCGCGCCGCGGCAGACGCAGCUCUGCACACCGCCGCCGACCCUCGGCAAGGUUUAUUCUGCGGCCGGCGAGUGCUGGGGGGAGCGGCAGCGCCGUCGCCUGAAUGCUGCCGGUCCCCGGUAACCUUCAGCUUCCCUUUCCGUUAACGGCAUGUGGUCUCCACCGGUGAUGCUCAGCCUGCGUCCGUGCUCUGGCUCCGAUUCCUUUGGAGAGCGGCCAAAAUCUCUGCGGUUUCGCCGUGUCGGUGGCCGGGAAGGGCGUCUCUUUAACAUUCGUUGGAGGAUGCGGUCCUCGCUGCUCCCGGCUGUGUAUUCGGCGUUUAUCAAAGCUCGGGGUGAACUUUGCGCCGGUAACCGCUCCUGAGCGCUUCCUUCCGGACGCGAACAGCUCCACAGGGGUGCUUUCAAACGUGAAACGGUGGUCCACGCAGCGAUGCUGACUGCCGCACGGCAACACCCACCUCACACCCAAGUCAGAGCCUCAGCGCGAGGACUGCCUCCGAAAGCCGGCUUUGAGCCGAAGGACAGAGGGUUCCUACAGCGAGCAGCGGUGGCGGGGACGGGGACGGGGCGCCCGGAGGUCCCCUCGAGCUGCGGAACGGCACUCAGCCUCACACGAGUCUGCAUAGAAGGCUUCAGACCUGCAACCCCACAGGCCCCCUCCUUCACACCGUGCUGCUGCUAAGAAAAGCCUUGCCCCUUUCC